rnacentral:rRNA from 1 species
AGUGAACGCUGGCGGUAGGCCUAACACAUGCAAGUCGAACGGCAGCACAGUAAGAGCUUGCUCUUACGGGUGGCGAGUGGCGGACGGGUGAGGAAUACAUCGGAAUCUACUUUUUCGUGGGGGAUAACGUAGGGAAACUUACGCUAAUACCGCAUACGACCUACGGGUGAAAGCAGGGGAUCUUCGGACCUUGCGCGAUUGAAUGAGCCGAUGUCGGAUUAGCUAGUUGGCGGGGUAAAGGCCCACCAAGGCGACGAUCCGUAGCUGGUCUGAGAGGAUGAUCAGCCACACUGGAACUGAGACACGGUCCAGACUCCUACGGGAGGCAGCAGCGGGGAAUAUUGGACAAUGGGCGCAAGCCUGAUCCAACCAUACCGCGUGGGUGAAGAAGGCCUUCGGGUUGUAAAGCCCUUUUGUUGGGAAAGAAAAGCAGCAGGUUAAUACCCCGCUGUUCUGACGGUACCCAAAGAAUAAGCACCGGCUAACUUCGUG